AGAAGAAUUUGCUGUUGCCCCCAUUCACUGCUAAGGAGACAGCCUUAGAAAGGAUGUGGAUGAGAAACUGAGUAAAAUGGCCCGUUUAUCCUUCCCCAAAGCUCAAGUUCUUUCCACGAUGGAAACAGGCAGGUGAUUUGAGCAGGCAAGUGCAGAGGCUGGGUUCGAACCCAGGACUGUUUGUUUCCAUUAUCUCAAAAACUCAAGAAUUUAACAAGAAUGGGAAGGAGAAAUAUUUUGCCUUCUUUGGUCUCAUAUUCUAAAUCUGAGCUCAAAUUUAUGAGCAUUGGUAUGAUUCACAGACUGGACAGGGGCCAACAUAGAGCUGCAUCUCGUGUCUUCUCAACAUUGAGCUUAGAGUCAAGUGGAGCUAACAAGGGGCUACUGGUUUGAAUACUCAUGAAUUAAAGAAAACCUUCUAGAAGAACAAUGAGAAAUAGCACAUACCAAGUUCCUACUAAGUGCCAGGCACAGUGUUAAAUCCUUAAAUAUUUUAAUCAUCUCAACACUGUGGGGAAGGUAUUCUGUUUCCUGUAACUGCGGAAGCCAGCCAGAGGGCACACCACAUACCCGGCCCCCCUCCCCGACCCCAAGAAAUAGGCUCUUCUGUGGAAUGCCAAGCCAGUGCAUGUCCAUACCUGCUCUGUGGCUGCCCAGUGCUGUAGAACAAGCUAAAAUCACCUGUCUGAAGUAUAAUAUGGAGGAAUCACUUUGAGUGUCUCUGGUGGGAAAUGGGGGCAACCAUGGUGCUCUCAAAGCAAACCCUCUAACUUUCAGAAGGGCUGUAAAGACAGAAUUGAUUUUGAAUGGCCGGUUUCCUGAAUCUACUUGUGCUGCUUUGGCUCCUUUGAGCUGCCCCCUCUGUUUCAGCUCCUGUUUAAGUGCAUAGUGUCAAGUACCAGCUUCGGAUUUAACUUGUGUUCAAAUCCCAGCUGGGUCCAAAGGAAGAUAAAAGUAGUACCUAUACCUUACUGAAUGUCUGCAUUAAUGAGAACAUGGGAGCAGAGGACUCUGCACAGCACCUGGCACAUGGGAACUGCAGCUCAGGGAAGGAUAAGCAACUUGCUCAGGUGACCAGCUAACAAGUACUUGAGCCACAAAUCAAACUUUGGUCUUCAGGUUCCAACUCCAAAGAGAGCUGGGUCCCACACUGCAGCUACCAUUCUGUGGCCUGAACAAUCUACCUUAAGAUAAAUAAGAAAUGGACUAAAAAAAAAAAAAAAAAAAAAAGGACAAAAAUGAAAGAAAAUCAGGCUGCUUUCACAGUGAAAAUGUAAAAGCUUUUGGAUUCUCCUUUCUGUUUCUUCCAAAGAUUUCAAGUCGGGGAACAAGUCAGAGUAGAGACAAGUAAACAUAAGAAGGUUCCCGUCUUCUUUCUGGCCCAUAGAAGAAAAAAAGGUUUUGAUAAACGGCAAAAGGAGAAAUCCUCAAAAGAGUGGCUGUCCAGGAGCUAUUUCCUCCCAUUGAGAUGCCCUCUCGGCCACUGCUAGGGUGCGUCUUUCACAGUGAAAUGCAGCUGGGUUUAGGAACGUCUCUGGUUGGGGAGUUCAGGCCACUCGUGACCAAUAUUUAGUGUCAGGGAGUUCGCCCGAUUUUCAGUCUGAAAUUUCCCGUUUUAUAUUUCUUCCCUUUACUUCUAAUAACAAAGAAAAAGAAAUCUC